CAGGCUUUGUCAUGGCGGCUGCUGCUGCACGCUGGAACCAUGUGUGGGUCGGCACCGAGACUGGGAUCUUGAAAGGUGGGUGGCAGGCUCGGGCGUCGGGAAGUGCAGGGGUGCACUCGCGCCCCUGGCGUGACUGACGCCUUCGUCUCUCAGGGGUAAAUCUUCAGCGAAAACAGGCGGCGAACUUCACGGCCGGAGGACAGCCGCGGCGCGAGGAGGCAGUGAGCGCCCUGUGUUGGGGCACCGGCGGCGAGACCCAGAUCCUGGUGGGCUGCGCGGACAGGACGGUGAAGCACUUCAGCACCGAGGAUGGCAUAUUCCAGGGUCAGAGACACUGCCCGGGCGGGGAGGGCACGUUCCGUGGCCUCGCCCAGGCCGACGGCACCCUCAUCACAUGUGUGGAUUCUGGGAUUCUCAGAGUCUGGCAUGACAAGGACAAGGACACAUCCUCCGACCCACUCCUGGAACUGAGAGUGGGCCCUGGGGUGUGUAGGAUGCGCCAAGACCCAGCACACCCCCAUGUGGUUGCCACAGGUGGGAAAGAGAAUGCUUUGAAGAUAUGGGACCUGCAGGGCUCUGAGGAACCUGUGUUCAGGGCCAAGAACGUGAGUGACAAGAGUGUGAAGGAGCUGUUCCUGAAGUCGAGGGAGGCUGAGGCCACUGACGAUGCAUUAGAGACUAGAUGGACUUAGGGG
rnacentral:sRNA from 1 species